rnacentral:misc_RNA from 1 species
GCCCCGUCCGCUAUAAAAGAGGGCUUGCCAACUGCCUGCCUUUUCGAAGCUCUCCUGUACAAACUCCAUUACUUAGUUUUUCUCCAUCUCUACCAUGGCUGACGCAGCUGCAACGCCGCCUACUGAUCCAGCAAGCACGGCGCCACCUGCUACGACUGAUCCAGCAAGCACGACGCCGCCUGCUAGUACUGAUCCAGCAAACACGACGCCGCCUACUAGUACUGAUCCAGCUGAUCCAGUAGCAGAAGAUGAGAGGAAACUUAAAUAUCUGGAUUUCGUUCAAGUUGCAGCGAUCUAUGUGAUUGUUUGCUUCUCAACUUUGUAUGAAUACGGCAAAGAAAACUCCGGUCCGUUGAAACCUGGUGUACAGGCCGUAGAAGCCACUGUUAAAACUGUUAUCGGACCGGUUUAUGAGAAGUUCCAUAACGUUCCUUUCAAUCUCCUCAAGUUCAUCGACCUAAAGGUUGCAGACUUGAUGACAGAAGUUGAAAGCCAUGUGCCUUCUCUACUAAAGCAGACAUCAUCUAAAGCUCUGUUAAUAGCUCAGAAGGCUCCAGAAUUAGCUCGAGAUCUCGCCGGCGAGGUACAGCACGAUGGCUUAGUGGACACAGCGAGCAACGUAGCUAAAACACUCUACACAAAGUACGAACCCACAGUCAAGGAGCUAUACACAAAAUACGAGCCAGUGAUCGAGAAAAAUGCGGUUUUGGCAUGGAGAUCUCUGAAUAAGCUUCCUUUGUUCCCUCAAGUGGCUCAGAUUUUAGUGCCGACGGCUGCUUAUUGGAGUGAGAAAUACAAUCAAGCGGUGACAUAUGCGUCGGAGAACGGCUAUACGGCGGCGCAUUAUUUACCGAUUAUUCCCGUAGAGAGGAUCGCGAAGGUGUUUGAAGGCGGCGCCACCGCUGAAAACGAGCAGUCCGUUCCCUUGACCGACGGCACUGUUGCUCCGGCGCAAUGACCAUUUUACAUUACUGUACUGGGG